AUUGAACGCUGGCGGCAUGCUUUACACAUGCAAGUCGAACGGUAACAGGCCUUCGGGUGCUGACGAGUGGCGAACGGGUGAGUAAUGCAUCGGAACGUACCCAGAGGUGGGGGAUAACGCAGCGAAAGCUGUGCUAAUACCGCAUGUGAUCUGAGGAUGAAAGCGGGGGACCGCGCAGCAAUGUUUGGCCUCGCGCCUUUGGAGCGGCCGAUGUCGGAUUAGCUAGUUGGUGGGGUAAAGGCCUACCAAGGCGACGAUCCGUAGCUGGUCUGAGAGGACGACCAGCCACACUGGGACUGAGACACGGCCCAGACUCCUACGGGAGGCAGCAGUGGGGAAGUUUGGACAAUGGGCGCGAGCCUGAUCCAGCAAUGCCGCGUGCGGGAAGAAGGCCUUCGGGUUGUAAACCGCUUUUGGCAGGAACGAAACGGUGUCCGCUAAUACCGGGCGCUAAUGACGGUACCGGCAGAAUAAGCACCGGCUAACUACGU
rnacentral:rRNA from 1 species